rnacentral:rRNA from 1 species
UACGUAGGGUCCGAGCGUUGUCCGGAAUUAUUGGGCGUAAAGGGCUCGUAGGCGGUCUGUUGCGUCGGGAGUGAAAACUUACAGCUUAACUGUGAGCGUGCUUCCGAUACGGGCAGACUUGAGGUAUUCAGGGGAGAACGGAAUUCCUGGUGUGAGCGGUGAAAUGCGCAGAGUAUCAGGAGGAACACCGGUGGCGAAGGCGGUUCUCUGGGAAUAUCCUGACGCUGAGGAGCGAAAGUGUGGGGAGCGAACAGG